rnacentral:rRNA from 1 species
UACGUAGGUGGCAAGCGUUGUCCGGAUUUAUUGGGCGUAAAGAGUUCGUAGGCGGUUCGUUAAGUCUGAUGUUAAAGACUGGGGCUCAACCCCGGGAGUGCAUUGGAUACUGGCGGACUGGAGUGUGGUAGAGGCUAGUGGAAUUCCCAGUGUAGCGGUGAAAUGCGUAGAUAUUGGGAAGAACACCAGUGGCGUAGGCGACUAGCUGGGCCAUAACUGACGCUGAGGAACGAAAGCCAGGGGAGCGAAUGGG